AGUGAACGCUGGCGGUAGGCCUAACACAUGCAAGUCGAACGGCAGCACAGGAGAGCUUGCUCUCUAGGUGGCGAGUGGCGGACGGGUGAGGAAUACAUCGGAAUCUGCCCAGUCGUGGGGGAUAACGUAGGGAAACUUACGCUAAUACCGCAUACGACCUUCGGGUGAAAGAGGGGGAUCGCAAGACCUCUCGCGAUUGGAUGAGCCGAUGUCGGAUUAGCUAGUUAGCGGGGUAAUGGCCCACCAAGGCGACGAUCCGUAGCUGGUCUGAGAGGAUCAUCAGCCACACUGGAACUGAGACACGGUCCAGACUCCUACGGGAGGCAGCAGUGGGGAAUAUUGGACAAUGGGCGCAAGCCUGAUCCAGCCAUACCGCGUGGGUGAAGAAGGCCUUCGGGUUGUAAAGCCCUUUUGUUGGGAAAGAAAUCUUUCAGGCUAAUACCCUGGGAGGAUGACGGUACCCAAAGAAUAAGCACCGGCUAACUUCGUG
rnacentral:rRNA from 1 species